rnacentral:tRNA from 1 species
GGGGUUGUGGCUCAGUGGUAGAGCGCUUGCUUUGUAUGUGUGGGGUACUGGGUUCAAUCCUCAGCACCA